rnacentral:piRNA from 1 species
UAUGAUUUGUUACGUAGAAACAAAAAU